GCCGAAGUAGCUCAGCUGGUAGAGCAACUGAUUCGUAAUCAGUAGGUCGGGUGUUCGAUUCACCUCUUCGGCACCA
rnacentral:tRNA from 2 species